rnacentral:rRNA from 1 species
CACGUAGUUAGCCGUCACUUCCUUGUUGAGUACCGUCAUUAUCUUCCUCAACAACAGGAGUUUACAAUCCGAAGACCUUCUUCCUCCACGCGGCGUCGCUGCAUCAGGGUUUCCCCCAUUGUGCAAUAUUCCCCACUGCUGCCUCCCGUAGGAGUCUGGGCCGUGUCUCAGUCCCAAUGUGGCCGUUCAACCUCUCAGUCCGGCUACCGAUCGUCGCCUUGGUGGGCCGUUACCUCACCAACUAGCUAAUCGGACGCGAGGCCAUCUCAAAGCGGAUCACUCCUUUUCCCUCUGCUCGAUGCCGAGCCGUGGGCUUAUGCGGUAUUAGCAGUCGUUUCCAACUGUUGUCCCCCUCUUUGAGGCAGGUUCCUCACGCGUUACUCACCCGUUCGCCACUCGAUUUGAAGAGCAAGCUCCUCAUCUCUCGUUCGACUUGCAUGUGUUAGGCGCGCCGCCAGCGUUCGUCCUGAGCCAGGAUCAAACUCU